rnacentral:rRNA from 1 species
CCUACGGGUGGCAGCAGUGAGGAAUAUUGGUCAAUGGUCGGGAGACUGAACCAGCCAAGCCGCGUGAGGGAUGAAGGUACAGAGUAUUGUAAACCUCUUUUGUCAGGGAACAAAGGCGGGGACGUGUCCCCGGAUGAGUGUACCUGAAGAAAAAGCAUCGGCUAACUCGGUGCCAGCAGCCGCGGUAAUACGGAGGAUGCGAGCUUUAUCCGGAUUUAUUGGUUUAAAGGGGUGCUCAGGUGGGCGGUUAAGUCAGCGGUAAAAGCCCGGGGCUAAAGCCCGGCCAGCCGUUGAUACUGGCAGUCUCGAGUUGGAGUGAAGUAUGCGGAAUGCGCGGUGUAGCGGUGAAAUGCAUAGAUAUCGCGCAGAACUCCGAUUGCGAAGGCAGCAUGCCGGCUCCACACUGACGCUGAGGCACGAAAGCGUGGGUAUCGAACAGGAUUAGAUACCCGGGUAGUC